rnacentral:sRNA from 1 species
AGGUUGUUCAUGGUGAACUCAUGAGACUGGGAGGAAGAUCACCCUAGGCCGGGGUCAUCUGUGUAGCACAGGACAGAACCGAGUUGAGCCACCAGUGAACAAGUGUGAGCCCCAAUGCAGCUCAGAAAUCUUCCAGACAAGAGGAUAGAGCUGUGUAUGAAUGUAUACGUCAUCCUGCUCUUCUUCGCUGCUAUUAUUGGACCUAUGACUGACAAGAAAGGAAGACGAAAAAUAGGAUCCUGAAGCCCAGAGAAAUUGGGUAAUAUGUGCACAUGUGCACAGUGGAACCAUCAUCAAACCUGUCAUUUGCAACAGCAUAGAAGAGCGUGCAAAAGGUGAAGUAAGCCAGAUACAGCAAGAUGUUUCCUCCUGACCUCACUCUUAAGCAGAGAGCAACACGGUGAUGUACAGAGGCCUGGGAUGAACAAACAACAACGUUACUCAGAGGGUAAAAUUCCAUGAGACAAGGUGGGUAAGAACUGGUGGUCCUACCGCACUGUGUUGUGAUGACAGUUAAUAAUAUGCGCUAACAGAGAGGAAGGUAAACGUGUUCAUCACAAAGGUGUAAGUCAGUGACAUGAAGGGUAUGUUAAUUAACUUGAUUUAAGCUCUGCAGAAUGAACACACAUCUCAAAGUCUUAGACUACAUGACAUAAAUAUAUGCACUUAUUACUUGAUGAUUAAAGUUAGACUAGAGACCAGUAAAAUGGAGGAACGGGGAAAGGCCCCGCCCACGUGGUAAAAGGGAAGAAGCAAGAACAGCAAGAUGUCUUUGGACCUCCAUGUGAGUGCCAUGACGUGUGCUAACUCAAACACACAUACACUAAC